UAAACAACAACAGAUGGAGAAAAGGCUUAUCUCGGACAGCUGCAAACCGCCGGUGCUUUUCGCCCGAUUCGGACCUUCCUCUCCUUCCGCCUUACCGAAACUCAGGUGGAGUCAGGUUUGAGGUGGGAACAGGCAGGUGGAGGCUUUGCCAUGAUCCAGUCAAAUCUAAAAACAGCAGCAUCAUAACAAACUCCACCCUGAAACCUUCCUGAGUAUGACUCUGUCUGAUCGUCUUCUCUUUCAGUUUCCUUCUGCUGUCACUUUCCGUUCAGAACACGCUCACAAAGAGUAUAAAGAAUACAUCCCUUUGAUUGCACGUUCCCCUUUGCUAAAAAAACAACAGGUUUUGUGGGUCAAACAGAACUCAAAUGAAGACAGUGCACUGCUUGUUGCAUGACACAUUUAUUUAGCAUCAGCAGAUGUCAGCAGAGUGCAUCUUUUUUCUCUCCGGAUCUGAGUUCAGGUUUCACUUUGAAACACUGAUAUGACUCUGAAAUCUGAAAGACAAGUUUGUAAAUAUACUUCCCGUUAGCUCUGUCAGCCACCAUGCCUCAUGUUCACCAAUAUUCAGAGAAUCUCACAUUCAAUCCAGUUCUGUACUCCACUAAACCUCAUCUUCACGACUGCUGAGAGAUUGGGACAAAUUUGUAGAUUAACUUUCCAUCAAGUAAAAUUCAGCAUUGUCUUUGAACAACAUGGUCCUGUGAUGGACUGGCGACUUGUACCUCCAUCUCCGCGCUGAAGAAGCUGGGACAACCUCCAACGAGCCCCGUGAACCUAUGGAGAACAAAGCAGGAAGAGAAAAUGGACAGAACCAGCAAACCGUUUAACUUUAAGCAUGAAAUGAGUGAUUGAAUCCUCUAGUUCCAACGUGAUUUCUAAAAUGAUAUUUUUUCAGGACAGGACUCAAAGUUCAGGAAAAAAAGGUUGAGUCUGUUGUCUUUAUCUUCUUUCACACAUUCAUGCAGGGGUCUGUGUGUAUUUUAAAAGACAAGGUUCACUUGUGCAACUCUUUAACAAAUAUUUAUGUAAGUUGAAACUGUUUUUGAUUCAGUAAAAAGCCAAUCAUCUGUCA